CUCAGGAUUCCUCCGUCAACUGUAGAGAUGAUCAUCAAGGCUACUGAAACAGGAGUGAAACCACACAUGUGAGCAGGGAGAGAACAACGGAAGCUGUGUGUUGGUACCACCGGGAUCUCUCCCUUUGGUUCAUUUGUGUCCUUGUAAUAAAACUGUAAUGGGAUCCUUAUCUGAGAAACAAAGAACCUUGCAUCAGACUGACUAUACUUUGGCACUAAAAGAACCUAGAAAAGGUGAACUGACACAUGAGUAGCAUACUGUAAUUUGUUUUGUAAAUGGGGGAGGAAUAUGUAAUUAUAGCAUACUUUAUACUGCAUAAAAUACCUUUGGGCAGAUAUACAAAAAAUAAAAAUUGUUGCCUACAGGAAGGGAACUGGAUGGUUAAGGGACAGUGAUGAGCUGAUGACUUUUUAUUAUAGACUUUUAUUUCCUUUUGAAUUUUGAACCAUAUAAGUACAU